rnacentral:misc_RNA from 1 species
UUCUAUCAAGAGUCAAUGCCGAUGACAUCAUCCACAGGAUAAGGUCAUAUUAUAUUUUAUCAUAUUCUACUGAGCAGUUUCUGUAUAGCAUUGAGAAAACUGUGGUUUGUUCU